rnacentral:lncRNA from 1 species
ACUCACACGGAAAAAAUCUGAGGGAAUUUUCAAUCUCUUCUUCUCCCUUUCUCCCUCUGUCCGCCUGUGGAGAACACUGGCAGGAAUCAGGGAGAAGAGCAGGGUUGCUAGGCGACAGGUUGUGGUUGCCAUGGUGAAUUUAAGUGGAACAGCUGGUCCAAUCAGCAUAAAGUGCGGGCCGGGCGGGGGCAGAGCCAGGGAGGCUCAUGCCAACACAGACAGACAGGAAGUAGAGGCUGCUGAGGCAUGCAGGAUAGAGAGGAGGGAAGGAGAGGAGAGGAGAUGUGAUGGGAGAAAAGAGGAGAGGAAGAGAGAGAAAGGGGGAGAAACGAGGAGAGGAGGAGAGGGGAGGAGCUAAGGAAACAGGAGAGGAGGAGAGGAGAAGUAAAAGAUGAGAGAAUAAGAGAGAGAGAAAGAGAGGGGGUACAGGAGGGGAGAGGAGAGGUGAGAAGAGGACAGGGGAGGAGAGGAGAGAUGAGGAAAGGAAAGGAGGAGACAGUAGAGGAGAGGACAGUGGAGUACAGUAGAGGAAAGACAAAACAAGGAAAGUAGAACAGCAGAGGAUAUGGGAGAGAAAAGGGGAGAAAAAGGGGUGAGGAAAAACAAGGGAAGGAAAGGUAGAUGAGAAGAAUAUAGGGGAGCAAGGAAGAUAGGAAAGAGGAGAGAAAGGAGGAGAUAAAAGAGAGGAGGAAAUGAAGGAGAUGCAAUCAGGAGAGAAGAGGAAGGAAUGAAACGAGAGGACGAGAAGAGGAAAAAAGUAGGCUAAUAAGUGAGACAGACAAAUUGAUAAGAUGACUUAAAAAGGGAGACGAGGAAAGAGAAAGGCUUAAAAAAAGAGAGCUGGUCAAAGGUUUUAUUGGCAGCAGAAACAGGAUAAAAGAAGAAAAUACGGCAUUGUCCCAAUCCCUUUUAUUUGUUUAUGCAGAAGUCGUUUCUCCCUUCAUCAAACCGACCUGAUUAAAUACCUCUUACAAAGCCUCUUUUCACCUAUAGCUGCCGUCAAACCCCGACAGGGAAAAAAUUAAAAGGCACAACACAGACUGGAUCACAAGAAAAUAAGGCAGACACCAUGACAGUUCGACGCAGCUAAUGACAGCGUGGUGAUAACAUGGUGAUAAUGAUAAUGGGCUGGGAAAGUGUGUGGGCGUCAAGAUUGGGAGGAUUUCACAGUCACAUCAUCAGUUGUGUGUAAUGGGGCGGUUUUAAACAAAAAUCUCAGAUGUGGUCGUGUUUAGUGUUAAAGUUUGCAGCCAAGUGAAAUCAACAGCUGUGAGAGAUGUUGGGGUGACAGUGGGACAAAGGUUGGAUUUUAAUGAUGCAAUCAACUGAGGACAACAGGGUGGUGUUAAAAUCAGAGGUGAGAACGACCCCGUCCCCUCUUAAGUGUUUUUAUCCCAAUUAAAGUCAUUGUAUAAUGGGUGAUAUAUUGGUUUAUUACCUUGCUUAGCUAAAUACUUGUCUCUGAUUGGUCAAACCUUGUCACAAAAUUCAUUAUUUCUAAACAGUUAAAGCAACACAAGAGACAACAUGUUCACACACAUCAUAUCAAAUCAAUCAGCAUACAGGAGUCUGGCACAAUUCGCCUCUGUUGACACAAGCUGCAUUUACAUGGGCACAAAUAAUCAGAAUAAAUGCCCGAUCAGAAUAAAAAUGCAUCAUGUAAACGAGUCGAUCGGAAGAUUCUGAUCCAAUUCGGCUCAAUCUGAAAAAAUUGUAUCGAGAGGGGUGGUUUAUGCCAAUUGUUAUUCUGAAUCGCGUACAUGUGAACAUUUAUUCCGAUCGUAACUCUGACCGUAACUCUGACCGGACUCGAUCGUCAUUCUUUAGCAUAAGACACAACCGCAGCUGCCAUGUCUGCUCCUCCGAUAAGCAACAUAUAUAUUAUUUCGAAGGAUGGUAGGGGAAAGUCCCGCCUCCUUCGCCUCUGAUUGGCUAGAAAAGCUGGAAAUGUCAUCACAAGCUCAAGCCAAACUCGGGCUGUUGGCUCUGUACAUCGAACAGAACAUUACAGAAAAUUAUUGUGCUUCUGAAUCUCCUAACCGUUACUCUAAUCCUAAUCCCAACCCUAAUUUACCCUAACCCUAGCACUAACCUGACAGACGAUGACGUUUCACAGCCAUAAGGAAUGACCAAUCGGAGCCCAUCACUUCUAGCCAAUCAGAGGCAAAGGAGGACAGGACUGUCCCCUACUAUCCAACAAAAAAAAAAAAUCGCCUUCAGCAACAUAACAAGGCGUACAUCGUAAUGAUGUCACAUCUGCACGUACAGUGCAACCUUUGACAGAACAGUAAGAUAAGUACGCAAGGGCGCCAUCUAGUGACAACAUUUAAGAGGGGGAAAACUCCUAUAUUGGAUGGAGCAAGCCACUUACGAGUUUGUUAGUUUGGCGGUAGCACAGGUGUGAAUACAACUCUUCUUCUGCAGUUAUUUAAGCAAAAUCAGACAACUUUGCGAAUGUCCAAAUGCUUUUAAUCUGAAUAAAGCUUGGCGCAUGUAUAUGCACAUCAUGAUCGGAUUAUUUGACUUUGCACCCAUAUUAACAGUGGAUUCAGAUUAUCCGAUCACUCACCUUUUUAAUCGGAUCAAGAAAUUUUGCCCAUGCUACUGAGGCAGAAACAUUUCCUUCAGUUCUGCUUUGGGAAACGUUCUGGCAAAAGUUUAAGUUUCCUUCUCUGGCCGGUCUUGACAGCCUGAAAACCAAGACCAAGUUUCCAGCUUCAGAUGUAAGAGAGACCCGAGGAGCUUCUGGGCCCAAACCAUCCCUGCUGAUAAGGGGAAGGGGAGUAAGUCUGUCCUGCAGAAAUAGAGAGCACAUUUCUGAGUUGCCUAUAACCACAAAGUAACUUUCACUGCGAGCAGCAUGAUAGUAGCAACAGUGUUGAAAAAUGUGACAUUAACAGUAUUGAUGUUUGAAAAUGAUGAGUCACCUCCAAGUCCUGAGAGGGGAGGCUGAACUGGAAAGGCUGCUUAUUUCCUGCAGGAGUCCCUUUCACCAAACAGAUAAUUACCUUCAGCUUUUAAAACAGAUAAUUAUUCAAUCAGUAAAAUCAGCUCGAAAUUAAUAUUUUGUGUUAGUUAGUCAAGUCGAGUUGACAGGUGGUUAUUCAAAUUGCAUAGACUCUUAUCACCCUGUUGAGAUUCCAAUUUGUCUAACCAUUCUUGUACUAUACAUUAUCCUCUCUAUGUGCUCACAGAUGUCAUUAUUUUCUGUUUGCUCUCAAACUGUCGAUAAGAGUGACAUAAUUAACACAGAAAAUAAGCUAAAAUGACUAUUAACUUAAAUAUACACAAACGAGUCUUAUAACUGCCCUGAAAGUUAAACUACAUAUCAGUCUGACCUGACAGGUGCUCCCCAGAGUCAGUUAUUUCUGAUUUUGCUUAUCAGCUGAGUGUUCAGGAAGAGGUCCGUUUCCAGGUUCACCGCUGGACAGCACUGCCUGCUGACUGAUACUAUAUCAGUUAUUGGUUUUUACACUAUCUCAGGCUGCUUCUGAGAUUGAACCCUGCAAAGAUACGCAUGCACACACGCGCAGUAACACACAUGCACACUCUCAAACACACAGAAAACAAGAUACAGAAUUUAGGGUUUGCUCGUUUUGAUGACAGGGCAGAUACAUUGAUUCACAGUGGUUCACAUGCAGACGACUUUGCAAUCUGUCCAUUGAUUAAAUGAAGAAAUCUUAGCUUUCCCCCUUUGAUCAGAAUCGCACCUGCAUAUAGAGUACGCAAAAAAGCAGCGCAUUGCUAUAUCUAGUUCUGCACAUAUUUAGGUAGGUGUAGGCUUCAUGCAUGGGGGACACGCACGUCUUCUCCAAAGAGGACACACUCUCAGAGUAUCUCGCAUGAGUGGGCACAGAGGGGAGCGAGAUGAAUCCAGGCUGCUGCUGUAAACCAUCAUGGCAGCCACUUAUUCUGCUCACAGCAAAAUUAUGUUGCUGCUACGGUCGUCAAAUGUUCAAGAUAUCCCCUCCAAGAAUGAGAAUUAGGAGGGAAAAGAUCAUCUCAGCACAUCUUUGAGUCUUUAAAUAUGUAUUUUCAUACAUUUCCAGGUUAAUGGUUCAUAUUUUUUUCUAGGUGGAGAAAGCAUGAGCGAGAUGAAGAGUGGUAAACUGACUGGAUGAAUAGAAAAUGUGUUUGAGCUCGUCCAGCUCACAAGAUGUCCAUUCACACAAAGCUCUCACUCUGUCACACCUUCCUCCUGUCACUCACACAAAGCAUGCUGGGAGGCAUGGUUUCCAGGGCAACCAAGAGGCACCUUUUCCUUGACGACGGUUCAGAAUGCGGCGAUGGGAGGACAUUAGCUUGCACCUCAGGUGUGGCAAAUAUUGGCGCCUAUAGCUCGACCAGGAGCAGAACAAAGCGGCCGUGACCACUUUGACAGAGAAGAGAAACAGAAUUUGAUUUAAAAAAAGCAGCGAGGAAACACAACUGAAUCAAAUGACAGCGGAGUUCACAUGUGCAAGGACCAGCAGAUGAUGUGAGAACUGGCACAACUGAAGAGCAAUUGUUCCUGAAUGAACUUUGUAGUUUCUGGUUUUGCAGCUAGUUAGGAGCCUCUGGAGCCUGCUGUGACAGAGGACCCACUGGGAGAGGAAACAGCACUCUGGGUAUCUCCUCUCUGUGAUAAAUGAACUAAGCUGCUUCACACUUAUAGUGUGAAUUAAAAUUUCACACACACAUACUCCCUCAAAAGACCCUCACACACUGUCCUAAAUAUGCAAUAACACACUCCUGAAAACCCCUCAAGGCUCUAAAAUACAUCUUCAAAGAAACCCUCAAUCUGCUUAACACAUUUUACACACACACACACACUCAAGCAUGGCUAUAACUGCACACACACGUGCACAAAAGAACACAUUCAGACCCAGAGCACACAGAUCAUUGCAAGAAACGGGCAGACUCUGUGAUAUCGUGUUGCUUUCAGUGAAGGCCAAACCCAUGAAAUUCAUAAAGAGGAGACAGAAGCAGAGAUGGGUGUGUCGUGGGCACGCAAAACACACCGGGUACACGGUGAAGACAACACACACACACCUCAAGAAAAACACACAAGCAAAAGGAAAGCAAGAGGGAGAAGAAAAUGGGAGCGUGGUGUCCUUAGGUGUGUGUGUGUGUUUGUGCAAAAAAGGAGACUGAGUGCAUAGAGAAUUGAGUGCAGUUAGUAGUGUUUCCCCCUCGGCUGAGGCAUUAACAAGCCUAUAAUGGACCCUCUUAAAAAGCCGACUAGGAUCUCCUCCAAAACUAACUGAUUUAGAGUGGCCAGGGCCCCCGUGGGCAGUGGCCAAGUUCCCCCUCUGUCCCUCCCCAGCACAGCCACAGCCAGCCCCGGUGGCAGGCGGCACAGACACACAUUGUGUUUGUCUACUGAACCACAAGCAAUAGCAGUUUAUAACACAAUAAAACACCAUGAGGAGGCAUUAAUUGGAUAUAAUAGCCAGGGAAUGAUUUAGAUGAUUUAACACCUUUUUUCCAAGACGAGUGCAUAAAAGAGAGAGAAAGAGGAAGAAAGGGGAAUUAGAAAUGGACUUACACACUGUUUCUGACUUUGAUUACAAAUGUUAGCCUCAUUUGAGUCCACACACACAAAACAUAAAUGCAGGUUUGAAGACACACAGGAUAUAUUGCAUUGCUGUAUCCUGCUUGUAAAGUCAACUACAAUCAUCAUUAGACUUAUAUGUAUGUACGCUUUUGUGACAUAAAGUCGCUGCAGAAGAAAAUCCAGAAAUAAUCCAAGUGUACGCCUCACAUUUCCUGUAUUUUGUUAACCCCCCUCAAACUGGUGACAGUAAUCAGGCCAUCCCAGAUAAAGCUGAUGCUUAUAAGAUAUGACAGGCUAGCUAGUAGAAAAAAACGCACCCACACGACCUCUCUAUCAUUAAUCAAUGUUUCAAAGGCGGUGUUUUAUUGACAAUAUAACCAUCAGGAAAAUAACAGACUCCAGUUUCUUGCAGCAAAUUAUCCUCAAGUCCCGCUUGCAAAACCGUCAAGAUAUUCUGUCACCUUAUCUCUCCUCACCUCCCCGUCUUUUCUCUCCACGCCCGAGCUGAAAGGGAGCAGGGCCUUGCAUGUAUGUACAUAAUUGGCACUUUACUGUCAUAUCAAAUUCAUAUCAGCUCAGGGUCCUGGGCUAGGAGGAACAAUGAGGGCCAGAGACAAAAGCGUGGCUCCCGUGCUCUGAGAGUCGGCCCUGAUAACCGCAGCAUAGGCCGGUCAAUAAAACCAAUCAUCUCUAAUCUUCUUAUGGGGGACUAAACAGUUCCCCCAGAUACUUCCAAAUGCCCACUAGACACAAUGUGCAACCACACUAUACCAAUAUACAGACUGUAGCGACGGGAGGAAAACAAUAUCUGAACCAUAACCUUUGUGCACGGUCUCAUCAACCUUAUGUCCCGAUACAUAAUUAUUCUCUAGACAUACAAAGUAUUUCAAAAUAUGAAAUAGAGGUUUCAAGAUUUAAAGCAACAUCUUUAUAAAGGAUGUCUGUUUAAUAUUGGGUGAGACAUGGGGAUAUUUUGAAGAUGCUGGUUGGAUGUAAAAGAAAUAAAUGAGUUUUAAACUUCUGUGGUGUUUUGCAUUGUGUGAGUGUUAAAGAGACUUUAUGACCAUGAAUUACCCUCCUUGAAAAGCAGAAGUGUCCCCACAUUUUCUGCAGGCUCUCAC